UGCUCCGAUCGAUUUUCAGCUACUCAUCGGAUGAUAUAGUUUGAUGGACCCUUCGGUCACAUCGCUCCACAUCGUUCAAUGAACCCAACUUCGCCCGGCUUCGCGUGACUCAGGUGCUCCAUUAGAUCAUCAGCAUCAUUAAGAACAAUGUAUAAUAUAUUGUAUAUUGCAUAAAUGGCGAAUUCUGUUUAUUCACAAUUUUUGAAGCGUAUAGCAAAACAUGAUCAUCGCAAAGUGCUCCUCACUCCACCCAACGAAGCAAAUAGUUGCGCUGGGUUGGGUUCAAUCAACCUGGCUCAUAAACUUCCUGUAGCAUAUCACUUCCAUGGCUGGACCCCAUCUGCAUAACUAAACGGUGUACAAUGAGUUAUGUCUUAAUCAGGAUCUCCAAAGGCCCCGCAGAGACACCGAUAUAUGUAUGAGCCGGAGGAAAUCCAGUUCAAUAUUCAAAUUUCGCCAGCACACUUUUCGUCAUAAUCCAGACGUGGCCUGGUAGGUGGCUCCAUACUGGUUCUGGUGUCUUUGAUGGACCACUGGAUAUCCGCUUCGAUGCUAACAUGCUAAUGCCACCGUCUGAUGGCUGGACACGGGCAUUUAGCAAGGCCAUUGGAAUCAAUCUGGGAUUAGACCAGACCCCUGAGUCCAGCGAGUCCAGGGAGUCCAGGCAGUCCAUGCAGUCCAUGCAAUCCGAGUCAAUAGCCCCACAGUUGUUGGCCUGUUGGCGCGCGACGCCCGUAAUGCUUGUAAUAAAGUGUGUUUUAUUAUAACCCACGGACUAACCAUAUAAUGGUACCAUAAUGGGCCGGCCAUUAAAACAAAUUGAUAUCAAUUUUGCAACAAUAUGUGCACAAGUUGCGUCGAUGACUCCGCGCCUCGUCAUUGAACUCCAUCCCAUUCCAUUCCAUUCGAUGCCAUGCCAUGCCAUCGUAUGCUAUUCCAUCCCAACACAUCCCAUCCAAACUCAUCCCAUCCCAUUCGAAGCCAGCCAGAAACGUUUGCAACCACAUGCACCACCUCAUCCACAGUUGAAUAGUUGAAUUGUGGAUGGGGUUACUGGAUAGUGGAUAGUGGAUAGUGGUGCUGUAGCACUAACAGUAUAGACCAGUUCCGAGUUGGCAAAGCGCCGUUUGAUGCUCUAAUUUAUACAGCAUACUGAUGAGUUGACCGCUGUUCUGGAAUUGUUCUCCUACGGGUUUGGGUUCGGUUCGUUUCGAUUCGUUUCGGAUUGCUUUGGAUUGCCUGGCUCUGGUCACGAAAAAAGCUGCAGAUCAGAGCACACCUGACCAGACACGGGAACCAGCAAACACACACGGUAUCAGUAACUCAACUCACCCAGAAAUGGAAAUAUUCGUAGCGGUUAGCGUUUAAUUGAAAUGCAUUUGGCUUGUUGUCUGUCAAUCAACCGUUGCGAUGGAUGGAUAGGCUCCGGAACUCGGCCGCCCAAGGCCCGAAGGGUAAUGGAGCUAUUGGAUCUUGGCCAGGAUGCACACGCAACCCCAUGGCGCCGUCAUACGCCACUUUGCCAAGCCAUCAAAACGGCAGAACCACAUCCAUAACCUAACCACACGCAAUGGGGAUUCUUGACGUGAACUGGUUUCCCAGUUUUCCAGCAGCAGCAGAUCAGACGACUCACCGCAGCCGGCGGCCAACCAGCGACGUGUGCCCAAAGUUUGCAUAAGUUGGACCACGACAUGGCGUGGACAUGGACGAGGACGAUGACUUGGAUGUGGAUGUGGAUCCGGACUGGAGCGAAGACCUGGACCUGGACCCCGAUCGGGCUUAUUUUUACAGUUAAAGAUUUAUGGAUCAUGCAUGGCCCGAGAGAUAAGAAGAGCCCAGAGGAGCAGGAGCACCACUGAUCCAGAGAUUCCGAGCUCCGAAUCCGAUUGACACAGAAAUACAAAUUCGAACAGUGAGCGUCAUAAAAUGCAGAUAGACACAGUCAUAAAAGUAUAAAUAAACGAUCGAAGGACCAUUGAGUACUGUAUUUGGACG